UCAUUAAAGAGUAAGGGUGCUCAGCGCCCGACCUCCAACCCUCUGUUGUUAAAACUACCUUGUUGCUUUGGCGGGACCGCUCGGUCUCGAGCCGCCGGGGCCUUAACCGGUCCAGGCGAGCGCCCGCCAGAGUUAAACCAAACUCUUGUUAUAAACCGGUCGUCUGAGUAAAAGUUUUUAAUAAAUCAAAACUUUCAACAACGGAUCUCUUGGUUCUCGCAUCGAUGAAGAACGCAGCGAAAUGCGAUAAGUAAUGUGAAUUGCAGAAAUUCAGUGAAUCAUCGAAUCUUUGAACGCACAUUGCGCCCCUUGGUAUUCCGAGGGGCAUGCCUGUUCGAGCGUCAUUACACCACUCAAGCACUGCUUGGUAUUGGGCGUCCGUCUCCCGCAAGGGGGGCGCGCCUCAAAGACCUCGGCGGAGCCUCACCGGCUUUAGGCGUAGUAGAAUUUAUUCGAACGUCUUUUAACGGAGAGGACUCCUCAGCCGACCGAAACCUUUUAUUUUUUCUAGGUUGACCUCGGAUCAGGUAGGGAUACCCGCUGAACUUAAGCAUAUCAAUAAGCGGAGGAAAAGAAACCAACAGGGAUUGCCCUAGUAACGGCGAGUGAAGCGGCAACAGCUCAAAUUUGAAAGCUAGCCUUCGGGUUCGCAUUGUAAUUUGUAGAGGAUGCUUUGGGGCAGCCGCCUGUCUAAGUUCCUUGGAACAGGACGUCAUAGAGGGUGAGAAUCCCGUAUGUGACAGGACAUGGCACCCUAUGUAAAGCUCCUUCGACGAGUCGAGUUGUUUGGGAAUGCAGCUCUAAAUGGGAGGUAAAUUUCUUCUAAAGCUAAAUACCGGCGAGAGACCGAUAGCGCACAAGUAGAGUGAUCGAAAGAUGAAAAGCACUUUGGAAAGAGAGUUAAAAAGCACGUGAAAUUGUUGAAAGGGAAGGGCAAGCAAUCAGACUUGUUUAAGCUGUUCGGCCGGUCUUCUGACCGGUUUACUCAGCUUGAGCAGGCCAGCAUCAGUUUCGGCGGUCGGAUAAAGGCCUAGGGAAUGUGGCCCUCACUUCGGUGAGGGUGUUAUAGCCCUGGGUGUAAUAC
rnacentral:rRNA from 1 species